rnacentral:rRNA from 1 species
CAGUUCGGACUGCAGUCUGCAACCCGACUGCACGAAGCUGGAAUCGCUAGUAAUCGCGGAUCAGCAUGCCGCGGUGAAUACGUUCCCGGGCCUUGUACACACCGCCCGUCACACCAUGGGAGCCGGAAAUGCCCGAAGCCAGUGACCCAACCUUAGGGAGGGAGCUGUCGAAGGUGGAGCCGGUAACUGGGGUGAAGUCGUAACAAGGUAGC